rnacentral:misc_RNA from 1 species
UGACCUGACAACAGACCGUGCACGCGUCAUCUAUCUUGCCGGCGGCGGCAUCGUUCGUCGCUAGGCCAAACUCCUCGAAAACCCCUCUCCUUGGAAGGGGGGUGCUCGGGGUAAAAGAACCCACGGCGCCUAAGGCGUCAAGGAACACUGUGCCUAACCCGGGAAGUCGGUUGGCUUGCUGGCCGUCCCCCGUGUUGCAAUGCUAUUUAAUCCACACGACUCUCGGCAACGGAUAUCUCGGCUCUCGCAUCGAUGAAGAACGUAGCGAAAUGCGAUACCUGGUGUGAAUUGCAGAAUCCCGCGAACCAUCGAGUCUUUGAACGCAAGUUGCGCCCGAGGUCACUUGGCCGAGGGCACGCCUGCCUGGGCGUCACGCCAAAUACGCUCUCACCCCCUCAUCGGGAGUGGGAAGCGGCAUGUGGCCCYUGUCACCUAUGUGGCGUGGGCCGAAGAUGUGGCUGCCGGCGUAUCGUGUCGGACACAGCGCGUGGUGGGCGUCCUCGCUUUACUAACCGCAGUGCUUCCGGCAUGUAGCCGACAUGAUGGCCUCGAAGGACCCUAUGAACGGAGCGCAUGACGCUUCGACCGCGACCC